UACGGAGGGUGCGAGCGUUUGUCCGGAAUCAUUGGGCGUAAAGGGCGCGUAGGCGGCUCGGCACGUCCGUUUGUGAAAUCGCCCGGCUCAACUGGGCGGGGUCGGCGGAUACGGCCGAGCUGGAGCAAGCUAGGGGGUAAUGGAAUUCCCGGGUGUAGUGGUGGAAUGCGUAGAUAUCGGGAGGAACACCAGUGGCGAAGGCGGUUACCUGGAGCUUUUGCUGACGCUGAUGCGCGAAAGCGUGGGGAGCGAUCCGG
rnacentral:rRNA from 1 species